AGCACGAUGGCCGAGUGGUUAAGGCGUUGGACUUAAGUUCCAAUGAACGAUUGUCCGCGUGGGUUCGAACCCCACUCGUGCUA
rnacentral:tRNA from 1 species